GACACGCUUGCGUGACACGUGCUCGCGACCCCCGGUGGCCGCCCCGUCGUCGAAGUGGCCUGGUCAGCCAGGAGGGUACACGCGGCGUGGUCCGAGCAGCCCCUGCGCGGCGCCUGUCUGGCGAGGCUCGAAUUGCCGUGAAUGAGCAGCCGACUUGGCGUAUCGUCUUAGCCUACGCGGGCACAAUCUGCGUCCUCGUUGCACAAGCUUUUUUUUACCGAGCCUCAGCGCUGUCGUUAUCUGCAACGAGUUCCAGACCAAGCCCGCGGCCCGCGUCCGUGCGCUCUGAGCGACACGGUGCACGGCAGCGUUCUUAGCCAGCACCGAGGGCGUGGUCGGCCAGGCCUUCCCGUGCGCGUGUAGUUGCAGAAAGGCGACCGAACAUCGGUGCCGUAUGCUGGAACAAGAACGCCAACGGCCGUCCAAUUUCUUUGGCGUCAAAAUGCAUCGUUCCAAUCGAGUGUACCGAGGCGCCGUUUCCGGGCAGUCUGCGUCUGGCAAGCAAGGCACACUUUCGCGGGGAGCCUCCAGAGAAACCACACCACCAAGCUCAGCACCCAAGAGUUCUCGCGCACUGUCAGUUGCCUCCGCUGUCUCCGGCACUGGUGACGGCGCCUUCGAACCAGGUGACCCGCUACGACCAGCAAAGAGAAGAAGCAGAUGACGGUUCCGCUGAAGCGCAUUGUUCGGUGUUUCCACCACGUAGUAUCGCGGACGCUGACCACGACUUAGCACCCGAGCGGCACACCGAGCAUCUGUCACCCAGACGUUCUGGCCAAGUUGUAGACCUGGUAGCGGUCGAGCACAGUGGUGACGGUUGUAGUCCGUGGUCUGCCUGCGCCUAGCAGCUUUGUCACGCACUUUGAAGGCUUCGUGGUCAGGCAGUUUCAGAGUUAAAUGGUCAACAACUUUUGGGAAACGGCUGCGCAGGCGCUGACCCAUCAAAAGCUGAGCUGAACUGAAGCCUGUUGAGCCGGGAGUAUCCCUGUACACCAGCAACGCCAUGUGACGGUCCACUUUCUUCCUCCACAGUUCCUUCACCGUUCGCACUGCACGUUCCACUUCCCCAUUUGACUGGGGGAAAGCGGGGCUACUCGCGCAAUGAGUAAAGCCGUACGCCGAUGAGAAGUCUGCAAAUUCUUUCGACGAAAACUGUGGUCCGUUGUCAUUCCGAAUGAUUUCAGGCCUACCAAAUCGAGCCAUAAUGCCUUAUAACGCAUUAAUGACUGACUUGCUUGACAUUCCGCACAGAGUCAGU